UCCUUUUAUCCAAAAAUCCCCAAAAAAAUAUAUGAAUGAUAUUUUGUGUGUUCUUUAAUUUUCCAUUUUUUUUAAAUUUCAUUUUUGAUUCAUUUUAAUAUUUGUUUUGUUUUUUAUAAUUAAGUGUGUUUAUUUGACCUAGUUUUAAAUGUUAUGGCUUAAUUCUUGGUCUUCCCUUUUUAAUUUUGAUACAAUUUUUUUUACACAUGUAGACACAUGAAUAUAGGUACUUUGAUCUUUCAUUUGGUGUUUUGACUAUCAAUUUUGAAUCAUA
rnacentral:lncRNA from 1 species